GUGUUUGUAGCUUAAAGGAUAAAGCAGUAAAUUACGAAUUUAAUGAUUGGAAGUUCGAAUCUUUCCAAACACG
rnacentral:tRNA from 1 species